rnacentral:rRNA from 1 species
UACGGAGGAUGCAAGCGUUAUCCGGAAUGAUUGGGCGUAAAGCGUCCGCAGGUGGCUGUGUAAGUCUGCUGUCAAAGAGCGAAGCUCAACUUCGUAAAGGCAGUGGAAACUACACGGCUAGAGUGCGUUCGGGGCAGAGGGAAUUCCUGGUGUAGCGGUGAAAUGCGUAGAUAUCAGGAGGAACACCGGUGGCGAAAGCGCUUGUCUGGCCCAAUACUGACGCUGAGGCGCGAAAGCCAGGGGAGCGAACGGG